AUGGAGUGGACUUGGAGGAUCCUAAUUUUGGUGGUCGUAGCUGCAGGUGCCCAGUCCCAGGUGCAGCUGGUGCAGUCUGGGGAUGAGAUGAAGAAGGCUGGGGCAUCAGUGAAAGUCUCCUGCAAGACUUGUGGAUACACCUACCUUCACCAGUUACUCUAUGCACUAGGUGCGCCAGGCCCAUGCACAAGGGCUUGAGUGGAUGGGAAGGAUGUGCCCUAGUGAUGGCAGCAUAAGCUACGCAGAGAAGUUCCAGGGCAGAGUCACCAUGACCAGGGACACAUCCACGAGCACAGCCUACAUGGAGCUGAGCAGCCUGAGAUCUGAAGACACGGCCAUGUAUUACUGUGGGAGAGA